rnacentral:rRNA from 1 species
CCUACGGGGAGCAGCAGUGGGGAAUAUUGGACAAUGGGCGAAAGCCUGAUCCAGCCAUGCCGCGUGUGUGAAGAAGGCCUUCGGGUUGUAAAGCACUUUCAGUGGGGAAGAAAGCCUUGGGGCUAAUACCCUCGAGGAAGGACAUCACCCACAGAAGAAGCACCGGCUAACUCCGUGCCAGCAGCCGCGGUAAUACGGAGGGUGCGAGCGUUAAUCGGAAUUACUGGGCGUAAAGCGCGCGUAGGCGGUCUGAUAAGCCGGUUGUGAAAGCCCCGGGCUCAACCUGGGAACGGCAUCCGGAACUGUCAGGCUAGAGUGCAGGAGAGGAAGGUAGAAUUCCCGGUGUAGCGGUGAAAUGCGUAGAGAUCGGGAGGAAUACCAGUGGCGAAGGCGGCCUUCUGGACUGACACUGACGCUGAGGUGCGAAAGCGUGGGUAGCAAACAGGAUUAGUACCCGAGUAGUC